UACGAGGGGUGCAAGCGUUAUCCGGAAUUAUUGGGCGUAAAGGGCGCGUAGGUUGCUUGUUAAGUCUGUUGUUAAAUCUCCCGGCCUAACCGGGAACAUGCAAUAGAUACUGGUGAGCUAGAGGGUGGAAGAGAGAGGUGGAAUUCUCGGAGUAGCGGUAAAAUGCGUAGAUCUCGAGAGGAACACCGAUGGCGAAGGCAGCCUCUUGGUCCAUACCUGACACUGAUGCGCGAAAGCGUGGGGAGCAAACAGG
rnacentral:rRNA from 1 species